GACGAACGCUGGCGGCGUGCCUAAUACAUGCAAGUCGAACGGUCUUUUCUAUGGAAGCUUGCUUCCGCUGAGAAGAUAGUGACGAACGGGUGAGUAACACGUGGGUAACCUGCCCAUAAGAGGGGGAUAACAUCCGGAAACGGGUGCUAAUACCGCAUAGGUUUCUUGGCCGCAUGAUCGAGAAAGGAAAGAAGGCCUUUGUGCUGUCACUUAUGGAUGGACCCGCGGCGUAUUAGUUAGUUGGUGAGGUAACGGCUCACCAAGACGAUGAUACGUAGCCGACCUGUGAGGGUGAUCGGCCACAUUGGGACGGAGACACGGCCCAAACUCCUACGGGAGGCAGCAGUAGGGAAUCUUCCGCAAUGGACGAAAGUCUGACGGAGCAACGCCGCGUGAGUGAAGAAGGUUUUAGGAUCGUAAAACUCUGUUGUCAGAGAAGAACAAGUCGGAGAGUAACUGCUCCGGCCUUGACGGUAUCUGACCAGAAAGCCACGGCUAACUACGUGCCAGCCGCCGCAGUAAAAC
rnacentral:rRNA from 1 species